GCGGAGUUGCCGGAGUGGUCAAACGGGACGCCCUCAAGAGGCGUUAGCUUAUGCUUACGAAGGUUCGAAUCCUUUACUCCGCA
rnacentral:tRNA from 1 species